ensembl:lncRNA
GUAGCGAAAAUUAACCUGCACAACAGAACAAAAUAUAUGCUAAAUAAAAAUGACCUACCCCCCACCCACAAAAAAGAAAAGUUGAGAUAUCUCAUUGGGGAUCAUGUUGGCUCUACCAAAUAAACAAAACAAAGCAGUUUUCCUUUUUGCAUCAUAAACAAAUGUGUUUUACAUCAGCGUGCAUUUUUCUAAACAUAAAGAAAAUGAUACUUUCUAAAACAAAGUUUGGGGUUUUGUCGGUGAAGUUUUUUUUCCAAAUUUAUUGAUUAGCUGCGGUGGAGUUGUUAUUGGGCCCAGAAAAUUCUAAAAUUAUUUCUAAGGUUGUAUUGUCUUGCAUGUAUUGAAAUACUCCAGAGCCAAGUGGAAUACAGUCAAAAAGUUAUGACAACACAAUGCUUAAGUCCCAGAGUGUCCUGUAAGUGCAAUACAUGUAAAAAUACAGAGGAAUCCAAUGACAGAGACUCAUUUGUUGCCUGUGAUGUGUCCACUGAUAGAAAUGAGUGUUGCCUGGGGGUGGAGUCCACGUCUCCCUAUUCUGUCAAAUGGUAAGGUACCGUGCACAAGGGAGCUUUGGAAUGAGCCUUUGUUUUGGUUGGCUCUCCUCCUCUUGCUCUCCUGUCAUCCUUUGAUCAUGUCAAGUUCUUGCUCUAUUCCUCACUUCAUGUCUAACCUCUUGAGUUUGAUGGGAGAGAAGAUGCAUUCAGGACCGCACCAGGAGAGAGACAAAAGUAUCCAAUUCACAUCACUCGUUUCUCCCCAGAAGGCCAUUCCUGUCCUCACCUUGAAGCUCCCACCUUUCAAGAUCUCCAUUCAGGUGACAGAAGCUGGAUUGCAUGCCUGUAUCUCCCCCUCCAGGACAACUUGGUUUAUGAUUUCAGUCUCCCUGAACACGAGCAAUCUCCCCUCCAUCCUCAUACUCUGAAAUCUAUAAAAACAGUAAAGGUAGGGGGGCAUCCUGAAAAAAGUGUGUCCUUUGUAUUGGAACAGAGCGUUCCAAUACAAAACAAUUUUAAGAGAAGCAUGCUCCAUUUUCCAAAUUCUGUUUUCCCUGCCCUUUUCUCAUCUGCCUCCCCAUCUCCCCAGCGCCAGCCUGAGCUGAUAACAAGUGAGUGCACUCCCUGGAAUGAUGGAUGGGCCUUAGCUAUGGGCUUGUCAGGAGAGGGUGCCGGGCCAUAUGGAAGUGGCAUAUGGAAGCUCAUAGUGGAAGAUGGGGCAAAAGGAGGGGAGUGACAGAGAUAUACAUUAAAGACACAGCUUUGCUCUUAAAAAUGCAAGGUUCAUCAGUUUGGUGGGUAAAAUCAGUCAGUUCUGCUUCCUUCCGUGGGACUGGAGGGAAGCAAACAGAGGCAGAUGCAGGCUUCUCUCUUGCUGUUACCGUGUAACAUUUAUAUUUAGACUCCUUUUAAAUCAUCAGCUUUGCACUUUUUUGUUGUUUAGACCAGAAAGUUCUACAAAGACAGAAACAGAAUAAAGAAAGGCUUAGAAUUAUAUUGUAUCAGCCACAUUUAAUUUCCAGUUUAAUACAGAUGAAUGCCUGCACACAAGUUUGCCCCAGCUUUCCUGCGAACAAGCAUUAAUUAUGUCUUCACAUCAAGUGAUGAGAAGUCUAUUUUUACCUUUCUAUCUUUGUCAGUGUGCACUAGUUUUGUGCGUGCUGGAGUGGAUGUGUACAAUCAUCCGUGAACAUGUGUGCCUGUCUCUGUCUGUCUGUCUUUCUCCGUGCCCUGUGGAGUGUCUCUGGGCCCCGAGGAUCUCUGUUUGAUUGUUUAAAACCCUUCUUAAUUGGCGCUUUGUCUGCACUCGCCUAAAUGAGGCGGGACACCCACGGCGGGGGUUCCCGUGGAGACUGUGGGCCGUUUGACAGCCCCCACAGUGGGGCCUGUCCCACAACCCCUCAAACUGCCAGCCGGAUGACAGGGGCCCGUGCUGCACCACCCUGGCCAAUUAAAACUCAGCUGUCAGGACCAGACUACACCAACACUGUGUGACCGAUUGCGGCUGAGAGAUACAGCAGAGAUUGAGGAAAUGUGUGUUUUGUGUUGAUUGUGUUUAUGGGUUCUGGACAUAAAAACUGAUGAAUAAACUAUUGUCAUCUCAGGCUCUUUUUGUGUUUCUUUGUGUAGUCUAAGUAGUUUGGUGUCAACAGGGGUUUUGGUUAAAAGUCAUCAAAGUAGCACUAUUGCAUUUGACCAUAAAUGAUAGGAUUUUAUGUGUGCUAGACUUCAUUAUGAACCUUUCUGACAUGCUAUAUGGUGAAAUUUGCACACAGAUUUGUAAUCCAGACAGUCAUUUGGGAAAAGCCCUUUUGCUUUUUUUUGGGAGGGUGGGGGGUGGUGGCUUAAGGCUAAAGUCUACAAGUGUAAUAGAGUGAUGAGAAGAAGCUAACACAUUUUUUUCUUUCACAGGUAUCUUUCUGAUCCUUCUCCUUGUCUAUUAUCCUUUUUAGCCUAAACUGGAGUUGUAAACAUUGGAAUGUCAUUAAAAUCUUUUUGGCAGUCACUUACAAAGACCCUAAAGCAGACAUGUCCAAGGUCCAUUGCGUGGAAAUUUCCACCUGCCCGCAGACUCCUUUCAUAAAAUCCAUAAUGUGGGGCCCACAUCAUUAUUUAAAGAUUGUGUACAAUUUCUUGAUUGUGGUGGCAUAAUUACAUUUUCCUAUUCACCAUGAAGAGGCACUACCAGACGAGACACGCUAUAUAUGACAAGCUAACUUGGAAUGCACGGAGGAAAAAAAUGACAAAUUGACAGUGAGUUUGGUAAAAAUGCAUUUCAAUGUAUUUGUUCUAUAAGAAGAAAUGAAAGUAUUUAAAUGCAACAAAAUGCUAAAAAUUAGUUCUUUUACAUUGAAUGUUGUUAAAAUAGUUGAAAGAAUGUCAGGCUGAAUGGUUGGCGCUCACGCAUUUUCACCUCACUAAAUUUGGCUCUCAUUGCAAAAAAGCUUAGAUACCCCUGCACCAAAGAGUCAAAGAAGUAAAAGAAAAAUGAACACUGGAUUCUUAUGUGCACGAGAAAGUUAUCUGGUGCUCACAAAAAACUGACUGGUGCACACGGGAAAGUGUCUGGUGCGCACAAGAAGCUAAGUAGUCAUUUGUGCACAGGAGACCUGUCAGUCACGUAAGAAUGAGCUUAUUGAGUGUUAUUUUACCUUCUGACUCGCCUACAAAGACAUUGCAGCCUCAUUUGUCUGAAGUCACUGUUAUGUUAUCUCUGAAUGUCACCUAAAACAAGUAUUAAAGUUGAGUUGUUGUUUUUUUUUUGAGUGCAGGGAAUACACCUGCUUUGAUCAAAUGAUGCGCUGCACACAAGUUUCUUUGUCAUGCACACCAGAUACUUCCACGUGCACAAGAAAAACCAGAACUAAUUUUUUU